AUCGAACAUGCAAUUCAAUAUAUCAUGUAAUUUGUUUAAUAUUUGACUACAAAAUGCUUUUUGGGAAAUAUCACAAGAUUUCAGUUGUCAAGAUAAAGAGAAGAUUAAGAAUGCAUAAAAUGAGUAUUUCUUUAUUGUUAAUUUUUUUUCAAAAAAUGAAUUUGGAAUGUGAAUGAUUUUAUUUUUCAACUGAAUCCCUGUUUAUGUGAGAUUGUUAUAUUAUUUAGAUUUUAUGAUCUUUUCAAUUGUUAUUUAUUAAAAGGUUGACCUAUGGAACGAACCGAGAUUUGUUGGUGCCCCAGUGAUGACACGCCUAAGACCGGAAUUGAUUAAGCCCGUCGAACAUCUUCUAAAAGAACAGGGUCUGCAAUAUGAAGUGGCUUAUUCGAAUUUGCAAAGUGCAAUUGAGGCAGAAAGGAUUCAAAAUGCCCC